rnacentral:rRNA from 1 species
CCCUUAGAUGUUCUGGGCCGCACGCGCGCUACACUGAACAUAUCAGCUUGUUUUUCCCUUCCUGAGAAGGACGGGUAAACCCCUGAGCCAUGUUCAUGGUAGGGAUUGGGGCUUGCAAUUAUUCCCCACGAACCAGGAAUUCCCAGUAGGCGCAAGUCAUAAGCUUGCGUCGAUUACGUCCCUGCCCUUUGUACACACCGCCCGUCGCACCUACCGAUUGGAUGGUCCGGUGAAGCCUCGGGAUUGUGGUUCUUGCCGCUUUAUUGUGGCGUGACCGCGAGAACUUGUCUAAACCUUAUCAUCUAGAGGAAGGUGAAGUCGUAACA